rnacentral:pre_miRNA from 1 species
GGGGGGAGCGCUGGAUCCUGCGCUGUGUCCCCCGGCGCCCUGGGCUCCAGGGCCUGUGCCGCUGGAAUCCCGCUCCCGGAGCCGCGCAGCCCCCU